GUCCCUGUAGCGCAGGGGAUAGCGCGCUGGACUUCUAAUCCAGAGGCCUUGGGUUCGAAUCCCACCAGGGAUG
rnacentral:tRNA from 1 species